rnacentral:rRNA from 1 species
AACGUAGGUGGCGAGCGUUAUCCGGAUUUACUGGGCGGAAAGGGUGUGCAGGCUGCCCCUCAAGUGGUGUAUGAAAGGGCUCGGCUCAACCGGGCUAGGUUAUGCCAGACUGAGGGGCUAGAGAGCGAGAGCGGGACGUGGAAUUCCGGGUGUAGUGGUGAAAUGCGUAGAGAUCCGGAGGAACCCCAGAGGCGAAGGCGGCGUCCUGGCUCGCAUCUGACGCUCAGACACGACAGCAUGGGGAGCGAACGGG